CUGGAACCCGCCGACCAGGCACGAGAUGUGGCUGCGGCUAACCCGCGGGAUGACAUUUUCAGGUGUCUGUGUGGAGUCUGCGACCCACAGGAGCCCGACGAGCGCCUGUGUUGCCAUUCUGUUGCCAGGGUGGUAGAAAUGUGCAACAGUGCCGCCGUGCAGUGCAUAACACAACACCCAUUACUCAGGGACAUCUGCCUCCGUAGGGAGCUUCUAGUGGUGUACGCGCCUCAAUUCUGCCGCUAUGAUCAACAUUUUAGGCGACUCAAUCCCCAGGACCACAGGUGCCUGAGGUUCACGGCAUACUCGUCAUUCACGAGAUGGG